rnacentral:rRNA from 1 species
AGGAUGAACGCUGGCGGCGUGCCUAAUACAUGCAAGUCGAGCGGUAAGGUUCUCACUCUGUGCUUAAAGCAUUUGAGCGUAGUGUGAGAAUACACGAGCGGCGGACGGCUGAGUAACGCGUAGGAACGUACCCCAAAGUGAGGGAUAAGCACCAGAAAUGGUGUCUAAUACCGCAUGUGGUCUAAGGAUUAAAGCUUCGGCGCUUUGGGAACGGCCUGCGUAUGAUUAGUUUGUUGGUGAGGUAACGGCUCACCAAGACUACGAUCAUUAGCUGGUCUGAGAGGAUGAUCAGCCAGACUGGGACUGAGACGGCCAGACUCCUACGGGAGGCAGCAGUAGGGAAUUUUCCACAAUGGACGAAGUCUAGAUGGAGCAACGCCGCGUGCGAGGAUGAAGGUCUUCGGUUACGUAAACUUGUCUUUAUAUGUGACGAUUAUGAGGUAGCUAUAUAGAAUAAGGAGUCGGUACUAGUUACCGUGUACCA